CCUACGGGAGGCAGCAGUGGGGAAUAUUGCGCAAUGGGCGAAAGCCUGACGCAGCGACGCCGCGUGAGGGAUGAAGGUCUUCGGAUUGUAAACCGCUGUCAGCAGGGAAGAACGGUCACUGUGCUAAUCAGCAGUGAAUUGACGGUACCUGCAAAGGAAGCACCGGCUAACUCCGUGCCAGCAGCCGCGGUAAUACGGAGGGUGCGAGCGUUAAUCGGAAUUACUGGGCGUAAAACUCACGCAGGCGGUAUGUCAAGUCAAGGGUGAAAUCCCCGGGCUAAACGUGGGAACUGCCUUUGAAACUGGCAAGCUUGAGUGUGUGAGAGGUUAGUGGAAUUCCAGGUGUAGGAGUGAAAUCCGUAGAUAUCUGGAGGAACAUCAGUGGCGAAGGCGGCUAUCUGGCACAUAACUGACGCUGAGGAGCGAAAGCGUGGGUAGCAAACAGGAUUAGAUACCCCUGUAGUC
rnacentral:rRNA from 1 species